rnacentral:misc_RNA from 1 species
AAAGUCGUAACAAGGUUUCCGUAGGUGAACCUGCGGAAGGAUCAUUAUCACGUAUCCACGUUAUAAACCAACUGUGAACUGUUUACAAUUAACCACUUGAACCAAUUAAUUUUACUUUGUUUGUACUGAUUUGUUCUUUACUCAGGUGUAACAACCCGAGAAGGAAUGUAAUACGAAACAAAAGAACAACUCUUAGCAACGGAUAUCUUGGUUCUC